GUUCCCACCUGUCCUCAUGGACAUCUCAGCCUUAGAGAUAGGAGUAGAGUUGUCUGCUUUGAGGGUGCUGGGAGGCCUCCUCCCUUCCCUUCCUGAUCUGGGUAAAUCCCUCCCUGGUUCUUGAAAGGGUUUUGGCCCAGACAGGACUCUGUAGCUAGAAAAGCCUCAACCAGAACCAGGAAGCUCCUAUCUCCCCCACCCCUAGGAAUUUACCUGUGACGUCAUCUUCCCCACCCCUGGGAACUUACCUGUGGCACCAAACCUAGGACCAAUGGGCUACCCGUGCAUUCCUGAUACCCCCUUAGGUUCCACUCCAAACCCAGGCUACUUACAUACCCCCAACGCCACAUGUCUUCCAGAGAGAAAGCCAGACUCCAGCGGUCGGGUAUGCUGGUUCUCUCUUUUCAUGUUCUCAGAAUAAAGGCCUCUUUUGUUUUAUACUCCUCAUCUUUUGGAAAUAAUCCUAUCAUUUGGUGCCACGACUUGAUCGACAGGUGAUUGACUCCUGGGGCACACCCAGUUGAGUCACCAGCCGAUUCUCGAACCAAAUUAAAUCCUGCCACUUUUCCUCUCCCAGGAUCUUAACCUGUCACCGCCCACCUGCACUCAACACCGGCCAAUUAAUUUCAGGUGAGCACUCUCUGUAAAAUCCUUGGCGCUGGGCUCCACCCCACGUGAAUUUUCUCCCCCGUUCGCGUGGCUCUGUAAUGCUUCCACAUCCUUAGGACAGCCCAGGGAAGGGUCUUUCUGGGCAAACCUGUGUCCACAAAUCUCUCACCCUUUGGGUUCGGAUAGCCUGAGGCAGAGCUUUUGGACCGCCCACACUGUGGGGUCCUCAGUUCCCUUUAAAGCUUCACUCUCUCACGGGCAGAACUGUUACUGACCCACGUGGACUCCACUCGUACAUCUCUCAGUGACGACUGGAAUAUACGAGUUUUGGAACCUUACCUGCCAUGUGGUGCCACGAAACAAGUGAUGGCUUGCCUUCUGGACCACAGCUUCUUUCUUGUCUGAAUUAGUUAUGGGAAACGUGUUCUCUAACUCCCAAAAGAUGCCUCUACAAUGCCUAAUUUCCAAUGUACGUACUCUUAAGAUUAAAAGUACCAUAAAGACUAAGUGAUUAACUUCUUACUGCCAGGAGGUCUGGCCAACUAAUCCACUUAGCGGCGACCAUUGGCCCAGAGAGGGGACAUUUGACACCUACAUUCUCAAAAAUCUCUAUGAUUUUUGCUGGGCCAGUGACAGGUUGAUAGAACUCCCAUACAUCGAGGCCUUCCUGGUCCCGAGAACACGCCCGUCUCUCAUUAAGUCCGGUACUCCCACCCAGAUACUUUUGGCUAGCUCUGCUGCAAUGCAAACUGUUUCCUCUUGCCAGGAUUUGCUCAACGAUGUUCGGCCACCACCUGCCUACCCCCAAACUCGUUCCUCACGGUUACCUCCCGCCAUGGUUCUGCCCUCCCCUCCCCUGCUCUCUGAUUCUCUGAGCAGUACUGGUCCCUCUGUGCCUCAAUUGCCUCCCGCUGUGUGACUGUUUUCCUCUUCAUGUCCCGGGACCCAUAAUUCUCUCAGCAACUCUAAUCACUCUGUUAGUGCUUCCUCAAAGUCUCCGACUCAUUCUCCUGAUAAUUCUCUGACCUCUACGGCAUUCUUGCCGCCCGCUCACCAAACCCGAUCUGGGUCAUUGUGCCCUUCUGGCAAGCUGUGCUUGCACAGGGAACGUCGCCAUGUUACAGCUCUCCACCUCCUGACAGGGUGCCGCCAUCUUGGGACGGAUCUCACGGUCAGUGGGUGCACCCUGUGGCUCCUCUUGUGAACAGCAACAGCCACCCUGUUGUGGUGCACAUGACGCUUCAUUGUACUGUGGACAGCAAUUUUCUCACUGCAAAGCACACAGUGAGACGCAAUCUGCCUGUGUUUCCUCAUCCCAGGGUGACUGGCAGCUGCUCUGUAGCCACUCUACAGAUGAUUGCUAACAUGCAUCUACCAGAUGGAUGGCUGCCCAAUGGCUUCUACUCUCUUCUCCUCAGGCUCUGCUACCGCUUCGGGAGCAAGCUGGCCCCAAGGGACUGGUUAAUAUACAUGUGCCUUUCUCCCUUUCUGAUCUAUCCCAGAUUACCCACAAAUUAGUUAGCUUCUCUGUUGACCCACAGAAUUAUAUCAGGCAAUUUGAAUUUAUUACUAAUUGUUAUGAUUUACAUUUUAAGGAUGUUUAUGUGAUUUUAAAUACCACCCUCAACUCACAAGAGCGAAAUCAGCUGUGGCAAGCAGCUCAAGAAGAAGCCGACUGCAGGCAUAAGGCAAACACCGCUGAUAACGACCCUGGGCCUGUAGCUGUGCCACAACAAGAUCCUAACUGGAACUCUCAGAAUGGACAAGGUUCAUCAAAAUUACAUAAGAUGAUUGAGUGUCUGAUUGUGGGCCUUAAUAAUAUUGCUCACAAACAUACUAACUAUAACAAACUUUUAGAACAGGUCCAGGAGGCUAAUGAAAACCCAGCUGUGUUCCUAAAUCGGCUUCAGGAAACAUUACUUAAGUAUACUAAUGUAAACCCAGACUCUCAUGAAGGGAUGAUUGUUGUUAACUCUUAUUUUAUUUCCCAGUCUGCUCCUGAUAUUCGUGCAAAAUUACAAAAUGUUGUACAUGGCCCUCAGACUCUACAAAGGGGAUCUACUUAAAUUAGACUUCCAUAUCUUCAACAACAGAGGAGACUUCGUCAAUGCCAGAUUCGUCACUGACUGAUCUGCUCGGACUUGCUGCAUAAGACUGAUGGGGCUCGGGGCUCACAGCCCCCACUCCGGUAAACUGGUCGGAGCCCUGAGUCUCACUGGAGGUCUUAGGACUACCACCAAGGUGGAGUGGCCCCCAUCUGGUCUACUUGGCUACCCCUACAGUGGUCAAAGUUGCUGGACUCCCAUCCUGGUUUCACAUCACUCAGGCUAAGAGGUGCCCUCCCAGCCCUAAAUCUGAUCAUUCUGAGUGGUCAUCUCAUCUUCUGUCGCUCACCUGUCUCUGUUUCACGAAGGCCUCGCAGCCACAGUUAACAGGCUAAGUCAUGUUUUGUUAUCCACUUUGGUUCCUAAUUUCUUCCGUUCUAUUCAUGAUCAUUUCUACAGCAGGACUCUUGACAGUCUUUCCCAAAGACUCCCACAUCAUGCAUAAGAUCAUCUUCAUGAUGCUCUAUGCAAUGACUGUGGUAGUUCUGUCUACCCUCAGCUGUCUGGUUAAGCGUGACAUCCCUGAAAGCCUAAACUCUUACCUUCCCUAUACUGGUACAGCCACCACCUUCCCUACUCCCCCCAGUUUUUCCAGUUUAACUCCUGGACCAGAGCCAAGAUUUACACACCUACCCUCUUAAGUUUUAUGCUUUCAGAUGGGGGAGUAAUCACCUCUCAUAACAUCAUUUCUCCUAACCUCACACUAAAUUUUCAGAAUUCUAUGUCACUGUGACAAUGACACUACUUCAAUGUCAUCCUGAUAUAAUGACAUGGCUAAAAUCAAAGGCACGUUUCCCUCUACCUCAUCUGGCUCCUUAAAUAUGACAGUGCCACGUCUCCUCAUAACAUCUU